GACAUGCGAUUUUCUUUUUGGCCUCCGG
rnacentral:sRNA from 1 species